rnacentral:piRNA from 1 species
UCAUCAAAGGGGCGGUUUUGAAGCUCUUC